GCCCUUUAUCUAACCAACUAUACACCCAGACGAAAACUUCAUAUCAGGAUAAGGUGAUAACGGCGGCACCUCAAAUAUCCCUUUCCCGUUACCCUCACCAAAAUCCCAAACAGCCGUCCAACUAGACGGUGUUAACGGCACAACACCACCCCCAUCCGUUGUCUUAACGACGUCACACACCUUGGUUUCCGGCUCAACUUUCGGUUGUUUCCAGGGUUCAACAUCUAGUUCCGUCUCUCUAACAACCCUUUUCCGCCCACUACUCUUCACCUCCACCAGCGAACACCCAAUUUCCAACGGGAAAUUUAAUAUCGCCUUAUUACCACGAAGCUUAAACGCUGCACGGUCGUACGCCUUAGCUGCUUGUACGGCCGUGUCAAACGUCCCCAACCAAACCCGUGUUCCUUUUUUAUUCGGGUCACGGAUUUCGGCUGCGAACUUUCCCCACGGCCGUUGUCUUACUCCUCUAUAAUGUAUUCUUUCCGCCACUAAGGGAAUUGAGAUGUUUAUAGCGGGUUUUCGUUCUUUUAAAGUAUUACGGUUUGAAAGAAGGAUGCGUCGUCGAUGAGGAGGUGUUGGCGGAUGAGGUCUAGAGUUGAGGAUUCUUGUUCGGAAGCCAUUGAUGAUGAUAAAUGGAAUUGAGUUGUUGAAUUUGAAGUGGAAAAAUGAGGAGUGAUAUGAAAAGAUUUAUAGGGGUGAAUUUGAAGGUAAAAGGUGGGCGCGAGGGUGGUUCGAGGAGGAAGGAAGGAAGGAAGUAGCCAAAUGAGUUUGGUUUUAUCGAUGGUUUGUCUUUUUAUCACACUUGCUUUGUUACCCCCACCAUGCAACUUGAUUUCUUAAACUUGUGAAAGGGGUGGGUUACUUGUUUAGGCGGGGUAAUAAGUCUUAACGGGUUUGUUUGGGUUAGAACAUGUCAUAUUUAAAAAAAAACGUUAUUUGUGAAUUUUUAAAAUAACGGGUAGAGGUCCGUUUUAGAAAAUAUUGCUUUUUUUAUCCGGUUUUCAUGGCUCUUUUCCUCUUAGUUAGGGAUAUCCAAAGUCGGUUCAGUUAUGAAGGCUUAACCUUAACAAUAACAAUAACCGAAAUUUGGUUUUGGAGAAUUACUUAACCAUAACUAUAACCAAUGGUCAGUUAAGCAUGAUUCCGUUAACCGUUGGUUAUAAACCAGUUUUAGUUAUUUUUGGUUGAUUGUCCAAUGUAUUUUUGUUCUUAUUUUUAUUUUUUUUGCUUUGUUUAAACUGAAAAUGGUUUGAUUAUGAUGUUCUAUACUAGGUUAUACAUGGUAAAAUGCAUGGUUCAUGUGAGUUCAUAAUCGAAAACAUCUUAUUGAAAAAUGAAGAACAAAUCAAUAAAUUUACAAAGUAUGACACGAACUACAAAACCCGAACGAUCCCUGUUAGUUUCUAGAAACACAAAAUAUGAUUUAUAAAUAAACAACAACAAUAGUUAAGACUCCAUAACCUAAUUACCACUGGCGGAACCAGAACGAUUUAGUUAGGGGGUCAUCAUAAGCUUAUAUUCUAUACUGGUUCAAAUUAGGGGGUCCAUCUCUAUGAUUGUUCUUCAAAAACUCAAAUUUUAUAAAUAAAAAUUCUAAAAGUUCCGGUGACCGGAGGGUCAACGGACCCUCUUGACCCCCCUCUGGUUCCGCCCCUGCUAAUUACCAAGUAACAACAAAUAUUGCAAGCUAUUAAAAUAUAAAAAUUUAAUGUUCACCAACUUGAAUUAUAUAUUUUAGAAAUUAUGUUCAUUUCCGGUGAAGAUUGUUUAACCAUAACUAAUGGGUUUGGUCAAUUUUCAGUUAAUUUUUUCGGUUAACAAUUAAGUUUUCGGUUAUGCUUUGGUUUUUGCACACCCCUACUUUUUUUUGAACGACAAAUUUGGAUCACUAACGGACCAUUAGAGUAUUAUCGUGCCACCAGCUUAACCACCCGAUCAUACCCAUCUCCAGAUGUUCCUAAAUUUAUUCUAGUUAUUCCUUUAAUCCCCUGACGGACCAUCCAAAUCCGGCCGGUCAAAGUUGCGACUUGGUUAAGAAAGAAGGGAGCUACUACGAAUAACUUGACUCGUUACCUAUUAAUUGGGUCCGCCCAUAGAUUCGCAUGUAAACAAAAAGAGCCAAGUUGCUGAUGGAUUUCCGUGGUAUAUAUUUUAGUUUUAUUUUAUGAACCCGGUUCAUAUUAAAUAUGUGUUUAUUUUGUCACAAGGAUUUAGUCAAAACAUUUUGACAAAAGAGUGCAUGUAGAAUAGGUUAUUCAAAAUAAACUUUA
rnacentral:lncRNA from 1 species